CUAAGAGCUGCAAAAGUUGGUUGAUUUAUUACUGUAGCUAGCUAGAAAACGUCAGCUAACCGCUAGCAAACGUCAGCUGCCCGCUAGCUAACAAAUCAUGACCAGUAAUUCAGCGCAGUGAAAAUGAAUAAACUAUAUAAAAUGCAUACAACGGGGAACGUGACUUGUAGAAAGUUUUUGCAAAGGUUUUGAUCGGUAGUAGUCGCUAAUAUAAUUUGUUUUUGUGCAUUAGUGUUGGCUGUCUGUUGGUACGUAAGUAACACUUCUUGUCCCGAUUUGAAUGCUUUCUACCUGGUUAAUAUCAUAGUAUGGUCUUGAAACAAUUACAAUCAGGAAAUUAAGUUAUAAACACUGUUUGAGCUAAAUGUGAGUAAAUAACAGCGCGGUUUUACCAGCCAUUGUUACGUUACUUGUAGCUAGGCAUGCUAAUGGUGCGUUCUAAACAUGACGUUCUAAUCACACCAGUGUGAUCGUACGCUCCAGGGACCACUCCAGAUUGAUCACACCGGUGUGAUCAUACGCGCCAAAGGGUUUUAAAGGGAUUGUUUGGCCUAGAUUCAUAUUUGGGUAAAAGUUCACUUACCCGGAGUUGUACCUGAAUAGUCAUUUUUUAAAACAAUCCAUUAUACAGCUCUGUCAGUCUGUAAUUAGCAUUAUUUGCAUUCUCCACAUCCGUGAUUGGAAACAACAAAGCUUCCCGCUUUACAAACGCUGCAUUGUAAGAGGAAAGGUCCUCCAAACCUUCUAACCAUAUUCUGUAAUCUGUCGCGGUGUGAUCUGCUGUUUAUGUGGCAGACAGCAAUAAUGGUUAAAGACUAUUUAAACUGCAGGAAUGCAACUUUUACCUCAGCCAUUACAUUUUUGCUGAAAUAACGUGUAAACGCUUAUUUACAGGAUUAAAGUGUGCUCUUGUACAAAUAUUACUGUAGAUGGCUGGCUAAUAGUUAGACAGUACUUACACCGAUCAGCCAUAACAUUGUUACCACCUGCCUAAUAUUGUGUAGGUCCCACUUUUGCCACCAACAGUCCUGACCCAUCGAGGCAUGGACUCCACUAGACCUCUGAAGGUGUGCUGUGUGCUGUGGUAUCUGGCACCAAGACGUUAGCAGCAGAUCCUUUAAGUCCUGUAAGUUGCGUGGUGGGGCCCGCAUAGAUCGGUCUUGCUGAAUUGGGUUGAGAUCUGGGGAAUUUGGAGGCCAAGUCAACUCCUUGAACUCGUCGUUGUGUUCCUCAAACCAUUCCUGAACCAUUUUUGCUUUGUAGCUGGGCGCAUUAUCCUGCUGAAAAAGGCCAAUGCCAUCAGGGAAUUUCGUUGCCAUGAAAGGGUGCACAUGGUCUGCAACAAUGCUUAGGUAGGUGGUAUGUGUCAAAGUAACAUCCACAUGAAUGGCAGGACACAAGGUCUCCCAGCAGAACAUUGCCCAAAGCAUCACACUGCCUCCGUUGGCUGGCCUUCUUCCCAUAGUGCAUCCUGGUGCCAUGUGUUCUCCAGGUAAGCCACGUGAUGUAAAACAUGAUUCUUCAGAUCAGGCCACCUUCUUCCAUCGCUCCGUGGUCCAGUUCUGAUGCUCAAGUGCCCAUUGUAGGCGCUUUCAGCUGGGGACAGGGGUCAGCAUGGGCACCCUGACUGGUCUGCGGCUACGCAGCCCCAUAUACAACAAACUGUGAUCCACUGUGUUCUGACACCUUUCUAUCAGUACCAGCAUUCACUUUUUCAGCAAUUUGAGCUACAGUAGCUCAUCUGUUGGUUUGGACCAAACAGGCCAGCCUUCGCUCCCCACGUGCAUCAUUGAGCCUUGGCUGCCCGCCGGUAUACAGUUUUUCCUUCCUUGGACCACUUUUGACAGGUAUUGACCACUGCAGCCCGGGAACACCCCACAGGGGCUGUAGUUUUGCCCUGACCCAGUCAUCAAGCCAUCACCGUUUGACCCAUGUCAAAGUCACGCCGAUCCUUAGACUUGCUCAUUUUUCCUGCUUCUAACACAUCAACGUUUGCUGCUUAAUUUAUUCCACCUACUGUCAGGUGCCAUGGUAACGAGAUUGUUAUUCACUUCUCCUGUCAGUGGUCAUAAUGUUAUGGCUGAUCGGUUUUUAAUGAAAACAAUUACUUCUAUCACGCCAUGGCUGGUUCAUUUCUUUAGAAAAACAGCAGUAUAAAUGGGUCACAUAAUACAAUUAUUCUUUUUAAUAUAUGACAUCCAUGGUCUUAUAGAGUGGAUAUAUAUUGUACCGCGUGGAUAAAUAUUUCUGAGACAAAAAUUUGAACAUCUGAGAGGGGAAUUGAACCGGGGUCAAAACAUUAAAGGUCAGGAAUAAUCCCACUAGACCACAGAGCCUGCUGGUAGUCAGUUAACCUCUAUAUGGUCUCCAAAUGCAAGUUUUAUCCCAGCCAUUCCAUUUUUGCUGAAAUAACAUGGGUAACGGAUAACUUGUUAACAGGACUAUUGUGUACUUUUGUGCAAAGAUCACUGUAGAUGGUCGUCCAUACAAUAACCGUUAAAUAGCCUAAUCAGAAAAUGUGCGUCUCGACAUCAGAAUUUUGUGAUAAACUGACUAGCGUUUCUUAUGUUUACUGUCACCACAAAUACCAUCUAUGAACUGUGAGUUUUAUUAGCCAGUAAUGGACCUACUAAAACUGCUGGUGAGGCUAAAGAUGAACUUUACAAUGUCAACGCUAUUUCAUUUCAUGGCACAAUUUGUUGGUUUUUCUUUCAUUUAUGAAUUACAUAGUUAUCUUGUCCAUCAAUAUAGGUGAAGAUAACUAUAACUAUUUAUAAAAAAAGGUCUCCAGCACCCCAGGCAUUAUGAGGGGGAUGAAAUCCGGAUGAUCAACCACACAUCUUGGAACGAGUUAAGCUUCAGGGACUGGGUCAUUCAUGGUCUCCAGCAUUGGAAUCAAUUGUUCCCACUCUUUGCAAAAAAAGUGGUAUAAGAUUGCACAAUCCACAACUACACCAACAAUUUCCGGACAUUCUGGGCAAUGGAUGGGGACUGGUUCUGGUUUACUAUCACCCCCCUCAGCUGCUAUUCCAGCCUCUGUUCAUUCUCUUGUGUGUUCUGGUUUGAAUAAGUCUCUCCCCUGGGAAAAAAAAAAGAGUCAAACAUGAUACAUGUGUAUUUUCCUUUCUCUCUCAAACAAAUCAAGUUUCACGGUCUGAUGUGAAUACCUAUGAUGAAAUGGGUAACUUGCUUUCUACCUAGCUAAUGCUAACUUGUGUUUACUGUGAUGUAUACACUUCCUCUUCCUGAAAACCUGUGGAUUGCACCAGUUGUGAGCAAAACUGACCGGUAAACAAAGGAAGUACAAUUUUAUUUGAAAAUCGGAUCGGUUGUGAAAACUUUAUUUUGAGGAAUACAACAUCACUAGUCUUUAGUUUGGAGUCGUUUUCAGUUUGUAUUGCUGCUUUUAUGAAGUGGGGACAGACUGGGACAGAGCUAAAUAAUGGGUUGUUUUGGCCAGAAACUGUGCCUUCAGGAACAACUCAGAGUGAGUGGACUUUCACCCAAAUAUGAAUCUGGGACAAAUUAUCUCUUCAUGUCAAUAAGAGACACGCUCUUAUCCAGAGCGACUUAGAUUUUCUUAAAUGUUUUCUUGUAUUUGUUUUUCUGCAUGUAUGUAUCCAUUCUACCUUGCAAUUGGUUGUUGCUUCCAGUUGGGGGGAGGAACUAUGUGAAACCUGAAGAGUAUAUUUUAUUUCCCCUGUCGCUCAGGUCCCGGCGUUCACCCUCUCCCGUCCGCCGGAGGAGAAGCAGCCGCUCACUGUCCAGGGAAAGGCAGAGGGACCAGGACCGGCAAAAGAACCGCGAGUUGGAUAGAGCACGGGACAAAGUGAGGGAGCGCGAGAGAGAGCAAGAGAGGCUGGAUCGCAAACCCGCUAAAGAGGUCCCCCCACCGCGUCGUUCGACCUCCUCUUCUUCCUCCUCCAGUUCGUCCUCUUCCUCCUCCUCCUCCUCCUCCUCCCCCUCUCCGGCCAGGGAAAGGAAGGAAUCACCCACUGACCAAGGGCUGAAAUCAGCAUCAGGGAAAGACGGAGGAAGCGACCGAGGGAAAGACGGAGGAAGCGACCGAGGGAAAGACGGAGGAAGCGACCGAGGGAAAGACGGAGGAAGCGACCGAGGGAAAGACGGAGGAAGCGACCGAGGGAAAGACGGAGGAAGCGACCGAGGGAGAGACGGAGGAAGCGACCGAGGGAGAGACGGAGGAAGCGACCGAGGGAGAGACGGAGGAAGCGACCGAGGGAGAGACGGAGGAAGCGACCGAGGGAGAAAGGCUUGUUCCUCCCCCUCGCCUCUUCCAUCCAAAGAGACCUGUCCCCUCCCCAGCCAAUCGGAAAGCAGAGCACCGCCCAAAGAGUCUCGACAUGCUGACCAGGCACGUUCCAGGUCGCCACUCAGCCAUUCGGAGAGCAGAGUCUCAGUAAGAGGCAGCUCCCGGACCCAAUCGCCUGCAGCUGUCCUGUCACGGGCAGCAGCCCACUCCACAGACCAGCCAAUCAGGACGGAAAAUGGAGUGAGUGACAAGGGGACAAAAGAUAACCUGAAAGGGAAGGCGGGCAGCCCCAGCUCUUCAUCAUCCUCCUCUUCCUCCUCCUCCUCUUCAUCCUCAUCUUCAUCAGACAGUUCUGACUCCGAGGCAGAGCAAGGAAAGGGAGACACCAGAGUAGUGAAGACAACUGCUUCCCAAAGCUCUUCCUCAUCAUCAUCCUCUUCUGAAAGUGAGAAGGAAGAGAAAAAGAGCCCGGUGCGUCCUCGCAGGCUGCCUGCUGAUUCGCUGAGAGACUCCCGCUCCCCCAGCUACUCUCCACCCCGCCAGCGGCGACCUGCACAUUCUCCGCCUGCCCGCAGGAGUGGCAGCAGACGGUCCCCAAGCCGAUCGCCAAGCAGUAAGAGAAGAAAAUGAUCCAUAAUGUCUCAAAUUUAACUGGCCCCCCAAAUCCUCUGUGGUUUUUCCACUUCUGUGCUGGUUUGAACUGGACUUUAUUGAGGGGGAAGGUGAAGACAUUUUGAUCUGUGAAUUGCAGAGCUGAAGGAAGCUCUGUUGUUAAUUUCCGUGGCACGACGAUAGCACCCACGGGAGGAACGCAUAGGCAGGAUUUGAAACCCAACCAAGACCAAAUGGUCUGCUUUUAGACAUGGGUUUCUGUACAUUUUGUUUUAUGGUGUACUGUAAGGAAGAAAAUUAACUGUAAAUGGUAGUUGGGAGACAGUGACAAGCAGGUUGAGCACAGCAACAUCUGUGCAGAUCGAUCGAUAGAACCUGGACUCAAAACACACUGAGUCCUUGGAAAUGAAAUUCUCUAAAUGGCAGUUACGUUCAUUGUGCUUAUUCUGCUCCUCUGUAUUUGCGCAUUCAACUUGUAGAUAUGACCCAUCUUCUGUAUUUUGUUUAUCACAGAAUGGAUUACGUGCCGUUUCAAUGUAUGUUGAUUAGAAACUGCAACUCUUGGUUUGUUUCUCUCUUUGUGAAAAUAAUGAAUGAUAAUAAAAAG
ensembl:lncRNA